GGUGGCCUCCAAAUAAAUACAUGGACAGGCUGCUAAAGAGGGUCAGGAUGAUGGAGAUGCAAGAGCCAAAGACAGCACAGACCAAACACCAGGCCAGAAUUCUGCAUGAGUCAGAUUGAGUAAUUUUCACUCUAGAGACCCUGGGGUGACCACCAAGGACGAAUGCAAACUCCAGUGAGUGUCUUUUAAGAGCUAUCCCCUGAGUUUCUUUGUCUUC